CAGUAGCCACGGGAAUACGUAGGGCGCAAGCGUUAUCCGGAAUUAUUGGGCGUAAAGAGCUCGUAGGCGGUUUGUCGCGUCUGCCGUGAAAGUCCGGGGCUCAACCCCGGAUCUGCGGUGGGUACGGGCAGACUAGAGUGAUGUAGGGGAGACUGGAGUUCCUGGUGUAGCGGUGAAAUGCGCAGAUAUCAGGAGGAACACCGAUGGCGAAGGCAGGUCUCUGGGCAUUAACUGACGCUGAGGAGCGAAAGCAUGGGGAGCGAACAGGAUUAGAUACCCCCGUAGUCCCUGUCUCUUAUAC
rnacentral:rRNA from 1 species